rnacentral:lncRNA from 1 species
ACGGACGUCCGGAUUGGAGCUUCAGCAAUAUCCACGACCAGACGACUGAAUCUUCCGAACUGGAGCUUGUCUUUCCCGUACUGUUUUGUAUUUUAAGAUCAACGGUCAAGCCAGAUUCGAAUUCGAACGAGUGGAUUUCGAGUUAGUUGGUGCCACUUCAUCUCUGGCUAGUUUUGGACUGUACUGGCCGCGUACUGACCCUGGCCGCAGGAUAUGCUGAAGAUUCAUUGAACCUGG